rnacentral:rRNA from 1 species
GUGGACGCCAGUCUGCGUGGAGCCGACCUUGAAAUACCACCCUUUAAUGUUUGAUGUUCUAACGUGGACCCGUUACCCGGGUUGCGGACAGUGUCUGGUGGGUAGUUUGACUGGGGCGGUCUCCUCCUAAAGAGUAACGGAGGAGCACGAAGGUUGGCUAAUCCUGGUCGGACAUCAGGAGGUUAGUGCAAUGGCAUAAGCCAGCUUGACUGCGAGCGUGACGGCGCGAGCAGGUGCGAAAGCAGGUCAUAGUGAUCCGGUGGUUCUGAAUGGAAGGGCCAUUGCUCAACGGAUAAAAGGUACUCCGGGGAUAACAGGCUGAUACCGCCCAAGAGUUCAUAUCGACGGCGGUGUUUGGCACCUCGAUGUCGGCUCAUCACAUCCUGGGGCUGAAGUAGGUCCCAAGGGUAUGGCUGUUCGCCAUUUAAAGUGGUACGCGAGCUGGGUUUAGAACGUCGUGAGACAGUUCGGUCCCUAUCUGCCGUGGGCGCUGGAGAACUGAGGGGGGCUGCUCCUAGUACGAGAGGACCGGAGUGGACGCAUCACUGGUGUUCGGGUUGUCAUGCCAAUGGCACUGCCCGGUAGCUAAAUGCGGAAGAGAUAAGUGCUGAAAGCAUCUAAGCACGAAACUUGCCCCGAGAUGAGUUCUCCCUGAGACUUAGAGUCUCCUGAAGGAACGUUGAAGACGACGACGUUGAUAGGCCGGGUGUGUAAGCGCAGCGAUGCGUUGAGCUAACCGGUACUAAUGAACCGUGAGGCUUAACCUUACAACGCCGAAGCUGUU